GGGGAAUAUUGGACAAUGGGCGCAAGCCUGAUCCAGCCAUGCCGCGUGGGUGAAGAAGGCCUUCGGGUUGUAAAGCCCUUUUGUUGGGAAAGAAAUCCUGUCGGCUAAUACCCGGCGGGGAUGACGGUACCCAAAGAAUAAGCACCGGCUAACUUCGUGCCAGCAGCCGCGGUAAUACGAAGGGUGCAAGCGUUACUCGGAAUUACUGGGCGUAAAGCGUGCGUAGGCGGUUCGUUAAGUCUGUCGUGAAAGCCCUGGGCUCAACCUGGGAAUUGCGAUGGAUACUGGCGAGCUAGAGUACGGUAGAGGAUGGUGGAAUUCCCGGUGUAGCGGUGAAAUGCGUAGAGAUCGGGAGGAACACCCGUGGCGAAGGCGGCCAUCUGGACCAGUACUGACGCUGAGGCACGAAAGCGUGGGGAGCAAAC
rnacentral:rRNA from 1 species